rnacentral:rRNA from 1 species
GACGAACGCUGGCGGCGUGCCUAAUACAUGCGAGUAGAACGCACAGUUUAUACCGUAGCUUGCUACACCAUAAACUGUGAGGUGCGAACGGGAGAGUAACGCGUAGGUAACCUGCCUGGUAGCGGGGGAUAACUAUGGGAAACGAUAGCUAAUACAGCAUAAUAUUGAUUAUUGCAUGAUAAUUGAUUGAAAUAUUGUAUUGCAUCACUACCAGAUGGACCUGCGUUGUAUUAGCUAGUAGGUGAGGUAACGGCUCAACUAAGCCACGAUACAUAGCCGACCUGAGAGGGUGAUCCGCCAACCUGGGACCGGGACACCGCCCAGGCCCCCUCGGGGAGCAGCCGUAGGGAAUCCUGCGCCAUUGACGGAAGUCUGACCGGGCAACGCCGCGUGAGUGAAGAAGGGUUUCGGGUCGUAAAGCUCUGUUGUAAGGGAAGAACGGAUGUGAGAGUGGAAAGUUCACACUGUGACGGUAUCUUACCAGAAAGGGACGGCUAACUACGUG